UAUUACUUACGACGUUAUGCUUUGUUGUUUUGAAAGUGACUCCCACGUAGCCUACUCUUCUAUUCCAUUCUAUUCUAUAUUCUUUCUCUCUCUCUCUCUCUUUUUUCUCUUAAUAAAUCUAAUCGGAAUCUUCACCAGUUAAUCAGAGCUUUGAGUAGAUAAGACUCGUGGAUGUGUCAUCUCCUUUAUUCAACGUUGAAUAUUGUUAUUAUUCUUGCCCGGUAUUGAGAAAAUACUUUUUCGCUGAAGCUCUGAAUAACAGACCAUCAUCGACAGAUGGGGUCUGAAGGUCCUCCAGCAGCUGUGGCAACAGUUCAUGUAACAGGUUUCAGGAAAUUCCAUGGAGUUUCUGAGAAUCCAACGGAGACAAUUGUCAAUAAUUUGAAUGAAUAUUUGAACAAGAAGAAGGGUUUGCCAAAAGGCUUAGUUAUUGGGAGUUGCAGCAUUCUUGAGACUGCAGGUCAAGGAGCACUCAUUCCCCUCUACCAGACAUUGAAGUCUGCCAUUACUUCCAAGGAAUCAGAAUCUUCAAGUUCCAAUAAAAUUAUUUGGCUGCAUUUUGGGGUUAACAGUGCCGCAACGAGGUUUGCUAUCGAGCGUCAAGCUGUCAACGAGGCUACCUUCCGCUGCCCUGAUGAAAUGGGAUGGAAGCCCCAGAAAGUCCCUAUUGUUCCUUCAGAUGGUGCAAUUACACGAAUACGGGAGACUACCCUUCUUCCUGUGGAGGAGAUCACCAAGGCCUUGGCAAAUAAGGGCUAUGAUGUUAUGACAUCUGAUGAUGCAGGAAGGUUUGUGUGCAACUACGUUUACUAUCAUUCGCUUCGCUUUGCGGAGCAGAAUGGGACUAAAUCCCUUUUUGUGCACGUGCCACUCUUCUCUACAAUCAAUGAAGAGACACAGAUGCAAUUUGCUGCUUCCUUGCUAGAGGUACUUGCUUCGACAUGCCAGUAACAUCCGGCUCAUGCAAAUGUUCAGGUGUUGCCAUGCUUAUGAAAGUGGAUGAGUGUACUUUGAAUGAGAUGCUAUAAAUUAUGAUUACAAGAUGUUGUUUGGAAAUGGAAAACGGUAUAUUGCAAAUGGCAUGUGUAGCAGAGGCGUUUGCUUUCAUCAGUCAAUGUUUCUGAUUAAAAGGCUUCGGCAAAUUGUCAAGACAUGUUGACAUCUUCAGUGUUACCUUGUGAAUAAAUGAAUCCAACUCAGGUACCAAGAGUUUAGAACAACUUGGACAAUGCAGUUCUUGGAUCACAAGUUAUAUUCCAUAUGUUCACAUAACAACCGGCUCCAAUCUACGCGCCUGUAGUACUACAAGAGCUUGUUGGUGCUGGUAGACGUAUAAUAUUAAAAGAUAAUUAAUAGAAUUACCGUUGGAAAUGACCGAAUUGUAAACUUUUCUAAGUGAAUUAUUUGUGUUUUCAAAGUGAAUUCCACCAGUUUUGGGACUCUGAGCA